rnacentral:rRNA from 1 species
UACGAAGGGAGCUAGCGUUGUUCGGAAUCACUGGGCGUAAAGCGCACGUAGGCGGAUGUGUCAGUCAGGGGUGAAAUCCCGGAGCUCAACUUCGGAACUGCCUCUGAUACAGCACGUCUUGAGUCCGGAAGAGGUGGGUGGAAUUCCUAGUGUAGAGGUGAAAUUCGUAGAUAUUCGGAAGAACACCAGUGGCGAAGGCGACUCACUGGACACGUAUUGACGCUGAGGUGCGAAAGCGUGGGGAGCAAACAGG